CUUAUUUAGCUCCUCUCCUCUCCUCUACUAAACAGUCCAUGGAAAAGGAAUUUGACAUGCCAUUAGAUAAUGACACCUUGAAUAAGCUUAUGAAGUGAUGGUCUGUUUUCACCAUUGGAGCAGGAAAUGAAAGGGUAUAGCAGGAUAAGAAAAUUUCCUAGAUGAAGUAUACCCUUAACUUGGAGAUAAGAUUCAUCACCAUUAAUGAUUAUCGAUUGAAAUGUUGAAUACUUGGAGACUCGAGUAUGAAGAUGGCCCCUCGUCAACUAACUUGUUACAAAGAUUUGUGUCUGAAGCUGACUCAAAAGUUGAAGUUGUGGGUUAGGCCGGGUUGGUGCUCAAAGAACGUUCUGGAAAUAGCAUCAUGGAUUCAAAUACUGCAGUAGACCAACCAACCAAAGACAGAGAAGCAACAGAAAAGAGAGUAAUACUAAUACUCACUCCUAUGAU